rnacentral:lncRNA from 1 species
GGUUUGUGAGCCCCAGAACAGGACCCUGUGGGUAAUUGGUCGCCAGCGUCUUUGCGCCCCUACCUACCGGUCCAGAGUCUCCGGCCUCCGGCGCCUGUCCCCACGUGUUCCGAAGCCCCAGGUGCCGCCGCGCUGGCUCCAGAAGCCAAGAGGCCGAGGGGACCGGAGCGCGCUGGCGGCUGCCGCACCACGUGUGCUAACCCGGCUGGCGCGGGCGGAGCGGGCCGGGGCUGGCUCCUCCAGCCCCAGCGCAAACCGGUUGCCACGCGCCGAGUCGCCGGCCGGCGGCCCAGUCCAACACAAGCCUCUAGGGCAUUCAGGCACACUGUCUGGACAGCGCAAUGGACAAGGUCUGCAAAGGAAACGGUGCCUCCUCCUGGACGGCGGCGGCGGCGCGGGGAGCCUGCAGG